AUCGGCCACACUGGGACUGACACACGGCCCACACUCCUACGGGAGGCAGCAGUAGGGAAUCUUCCGCAGUGGACGAAAGUCUGACAGAGCCACGCCGCGUGAGUGAAGAAGGGUUUCGGCUCGUAAAACUCUGUUGUCAGGGAAGAACGCCCACGGGAGUAACUGCCCGUCGGGUGACGGCACCUGACCAGAAAGCCACGGCUAACUACGUGCCAGCAGCCGCGGAUAUACAUAGGUGGCAAGCGUUAUCCGGAAUUAUUGGGCGUAAAGCGCGCGUACGCGGUUCGUUAAGUCUGAUGUGAAAGCCCCCGGCUCAACCGGGGAGGGUCAUUGGAAACUGGCGGACUUGAGUCGCAGAAGAGGAGAGUGGAAUUCCAUGUGUAGCGGUGAAAUGCGCAGAGAUAUGGAGGAACACCAGUGGCGAAGGCGGCUCUCUGGUCUGCAACUGACGCUGAGGUGCAGAAAGCGUGGGGAUCACACAGGAUUAGAUACCCUGGUAGUCCACGCCGUAAACGAUAGUGCUAAGUGUUAGGGGGUUUCCGCCCCUUAGUGCUGCAGCUAACGCAUUAAGCACUCCGCCUGGAGAGUACGGCCGCAAGGUUGAAUCUCAAAGGAAUUGACGGGGACGCGCACAAGCGGUGGAGCAUGUGGUAUAAUUCGAAGCAACGCGAAGAACCUUACCAAAUCUUGACAUCCUCUGACCACCCUGGAGACAGGGUUUCCCUUCGGGGCAGAGUGACAGGUGGCGCAUGGUUGUCGUCAGCUCGUGUCGUGAGAUGUUGGGUUAAGUCCCGCAACGAGCGCAACCCUUAUCACUAGUUGCCAGCAUUCAGUUGGGCACUCUAGUGAGACUGCCGGUGACAAACCGGAGGAAGGUGGGGAUGACGUCAAAUCAUCAUGCCCCUUAUGAUUUGGGCUACACACGUGCCACAAUGUACAGGUUACAAAGGGCAGCUACGCCGCGAGGCCAAGCGAAUCCCAUAAAACUGUUCUCAGUUCGGAUGGGAGUGUGCAUCUCGACUCCAUGAAGCUGGAAUCGCUAGUAAUCGUGGAUCAGAAUGCCACGGUGAAUACGUUCCCGGGUCUUGUACACACCGCCCGUCACACCACGAAAGUCGGU
rnacentral:rRNA from 1 species